AAACAAAAACAGAUGUGAGGCUGAAUAAAAUGGCCAUGGCCUAGGUUAGUGACCUCCAUUGCACUCUGGAGGGGUGCAACCCUAAGGUUGGACCAAGUGGUCGUGCCUACAUCGUAAUUUGUGACAGUGGGGGCUUGCGUUCGCGUCAGGAUCAAU